AUACGUAGGUGGCAAGCGUUGUCCGGAUUUAUUGGGCGUAAAGCGAGCGCAGGUCGGUUUUUUAAGUCUGAUGUGAAAGCCUUCGGCUCAACCGAAGAAGUGCAUCGGAAACGUAGGGAAACUUGAGUGCAGAAGAGGACAGUGGAACUCCAUGUGUAGCGGUAGAAAUGCGUAGAUAUAUGGAAGAACACCAGUGGCGAAGGCGGCUGUCUGGUCUGUAACUGACGCUGAGGCUCGAAAGUAUGGGUAGC
rnacentral:rRNA from 1 species